GACGCUAAUACCGCAUAACAUCUGUCUUUGAAGAGAUGGAGAUCAAAGCUGGGGAUCGCAAGACCUAGCGCUUGAAGAGGGGCCCGCGUCCGAUUAGCUAGUUGGUGGGGUAACGGCUCACCAAGGCAACGAUCGGUAGCCGGCCUGAGAGGGCGGACGGCCACACUGGGACUGAGACACGGCCCAGACUCCUACGGGAGGCAGCAGUAGGGAAUUGUUCGCAAUGGGCGCAAGCCUGACGACGCAACGCCGCGUGGAGGAUGAAGAUCUUCGGGUCGUAAACUCCUUUCGAUUGGGACGAAUUCCUUGGAGGUAAACAAUCUCCGAGGUUGACGGUACCGAGAGAAGAAGCCCCGGCUAACUCCGUGCCAGCAGCCGCGGUAAUACGGGGGGGGCAAGCGUUGUUCGGAAUUACUGGGCGUAAAGGGCUCGUAGGCGGCCCACUAAGUCAGACGUGAAAUCCCUCGGCUUAACCGGGGAACUGCGUCUGAUACUGGAGGGCUUGAGUUUGGGAGAGGGAUGCGGAAUUCCAGGUGUAGCGGUGAAAUGCGUAGAUAUCUGGAGGAACACCGGUGGCGAAGGCGGCAUCCUGGACCAACACUGACGUGAGGAGCGAAAGCCAGGGGACAACG
rnacentral:rRNA from 1 species